rnacentral:lncRNA from 1 species
GGGCUCAGUUAACCAUUAAACAUCGAAUUCAACACCAAAAACGGGAGGAGGGCCAACCUCCGGGUUGCUUGUAUUCCUAUGGUUGCUAUUGCUCUUUUGCUUGUUGUUUCUUCCACACACUUAGGAUGGAUACCACAUAGGUAAGAGUCACAAAGCCUCAAGCAAUAUGUAGAGAUCAAUCAACAGGAUGCACAAAGAAAGAAGAAGGAAAACUGCCUCUCUCUCUCGGGUUCUCUCACGCACGACUUCAACAUGUGAAAGGGAGUUACCAAUUUAUAAUAGUCCAAUGGCCAACUUAAGGUAAGUCACAAUAUGGUAAAUAGGCUCGACUAGGGUUAAGUCCCAAUAGCACACCAACAAGCCGCAAAGAUUAUUAGCCCUCCAAUAGGUAAAGCAACGCCAUUAUUCGGUGUUGAUUUAUCGUUCAGUCAUUCAUGUCGACUGAUAAAACUGGUUUUCAUCAUCGUUCGGGAGGUCGCUUGACAACAUGAUGUCUAACAACCUCCACCUUGGUGUCAAAGGACCUGCAAAGAAAAACGUUUUCCAUUAGUGACACCUCUAACAGAAAAUCGAUAAAAUUGGAAAUCAUUUACCUAUACCGAUGUUUAGAAGCUCCUUGCAGCUUCUAAACUUUACCAGUGGCAGCACUUUCAUGCCCAUAUCUAAAGGAUUAUAUUGUGUGUGAAUUUUUUCAAGUCUUACUACUUCUUGUGAUAUUAUAUCCCUAAUGAAGUGUAACCUAACAUCGAUAUGUUUAGUGCGUUCGUGAAAAAUAGGAUUCUUACACAGAUGUAUGGAUGACUGACUAUCAGAAUACACAACCACAUACUCAUUCAAGACACUCAGUUCAUGAAGUAGACCUCUAAGCCAUAGAGCCUCUUUAAUUGCUUCAGCGAUGGCAAUAUAUUCUGACUCUGUAGUGGAUAGUGCAACUAUGUGUUGUAACUGUGAUUUCCAACUAACACACAAAUUUGAUAAGGUGAAUACGUAAGAGGAAGUUGAUUUCCUACCAUCCCUAUCUCCUGCAUAAUCAGCAUCUACAAAACCCUUUAAUUUCACACCUUCCUUAUUAGCACUAAAUUUUAGACCUACGUCACUUGUGCCCUUCAAAUAUCUUAAAACCCAUUUUAAUGCUUCCCAAUGUUCAGGACCUGGAUUAGACAUGUACCUACUGAGAGUACUAACAGCGAAUCCUAAGUCCGGUCUAGUGCAAACCAUCAAAUACAUUAUGGAAUCAAUCACAUUUGAGUAUGGAAUUUUACUCAUGUAUUCCACUUCACGUUCAUUGCAGGGAGCUUGUUCUUUAGAUAGAACAAAAUGGUUUGCAAGAGGCAAUGUGACAGAUUUGCAAUCACUCAUAUUAAACCUUUUCAACACCUUUGAUAUGUAUGGAGACUGAUGCAAGAAUACGAUGGAAUUUGACAUAUUUCAUUCUAUUUCCAUGCCUAGAAUCCUUUUAGCCUUUCCUAGGUCUUUCAUGUCAAAUUCUCCACUAAGAUCUACUUUUAUAUUGUUUAUCCACUUAGGAGAUGAUCCAACUAAAAGCAUGUCGUCCACAUAGAGCAACAAGAACAAAUAAUUGUUAUCAGUCUCGUUGUGUUGAAAGUAUAGGCAGUGAUCGAAUUUACUUCUUUGAAAUCCUAUAGUGAGUACAAAGGAAUCAAAACCUCUUGUACCACUGUCUAGGUGAUUGCUUUAGACCGUAUAGGGAUCUUUUCAGAAAACACACAUAAUCAGGUUUUAACUUGUCUUUAAAACCUUUUGGUUGAUUCAUAAAGAUUUGUUCAUCAAGCUCUCCAUAUAAAAAAGCGAUUUUUACAUCGAGUUGUUCAAGUUCCCAGUCAAAGAGCGCAACCAAUGUGAGCAUGACCCUAAUAGUAGUGUACUUGACAACUGGUGAGAAAAUCUCGUUAUAAUCAACACCUUCUUUCUGUGUGUAACCCUUCGCUACUAACCUAGCCUUAAAUCUUAGGGGUUCUGUACUACUAGUACCUUCCUUAACCUUAAAGACCCACUUGCAAUCAACGAUUGGUUUAUUCUUAGGUCUCGAUACUAACUCCCAAGUUUGGUUCUUUUCUAGAAAACUCAUCUCUUCUUUCAUAGCAUUAAGCCACUCCUUAGAUUGACCAUUAUUCAUAGCAUCUUCAAAAGUUUUUGGCUCCCUAUCAACUAGUUCUUCGUAACUAGCGUAUGCAAAAUCCAAUUCAGAUUCAUACCCGAACCUUCUAGGUUAUCUCGUUUGUCUUCUCUCUCUAUCUCUAACUAAAUUAUAGUUAGCUAAUGGAUUUUCUUCCUCAGGAUGCUCUUCUAUCAUUACUUCAUUUUCCUCUUCAGGUUCUUGGACCUGAAUCUCCACCUCACUCGAAGUACUAGGUACUGAUGUGUUAAAUUUUUCUAACUCCACCUUGAACUGAUUUCUUUCUUCACCGGAUUCAGUUUCAUUUACAGGUUCGGUUUCGUUCCUUAGACAAGGCAUCUCACUCUCAUUAAAUGUGACAUCCCUACUCACGAUGAUCUUAACUCUUUUUUGGCUUCUAUCCCAUAGCCUAUAUCCCUUAACCCCUUCGGGAUACCCUAAAAAAACACACUUCCUGGCUCUAGGUUCUAAUUUUCCCUCACUUUGAUGAGAGAAGGCAACACNNNNNNNNNNNNNNNNNNNNNNNNNNNNNNNNNNNNNNNNNNNNNNNNNNNNNNNNNNNNNNNNNNNNNNNNNNNNNNNNNNNNNNNNNNNNNGUGGAGUAUCACCAUUUAAUGCAGCCGAUGGAGUCAAAUUUAUCAGAUAACAGGCAGUUACAACGGCUUCACCCCCAAAUGACUUAGGAACCCCAGAACUUAACAUCAUGCAGCGCACUUUAUCUAGUAUGGUCCUAUUCAUUCUUUCUGCUACCCCGUNCACAUAUACUUCACCGUUUUCGGUAUUGGAGGUAGAGGAUAACACAUUUACCUCAUCUCUUUCCUUAACCUUUUGUUUUCCCUCUUCUUUAUGACAGUCUUUUAUAAAAUGCCCUGUGCCUUCACAGCCAUAGCAUUUUCUAGUCUUAGUUCUAGACUUUGACCUAGGUCUACCAUUUCCCUUCUUUUUCCAACUAUUACUACUUGAUUCGCCACUACUUUGGUAUCCAUCAUGACUGGCUUGCCUAAAUUGAGUUCUACCCCCGCAUCAUAUGCAACUCUCCACUCCUCCUAUCCUUUUUUCAGCCCUCAUUUCCAUCUCCUUACUCCUAAGAGAAUCUACGACAAUUUCAGGUGUUAACGUGUCCCUACCAUACUUAAUGGCAUUUUUAACUUCUUUAUAAGAGUCCGGGAUUGAAUUGAGCAAGAUAAUGGCCUUAUAGGUUUUAGACACGGCCUCGUCACAAUUGACAAUAUCUUGCAUCAAUUUGUUAAAUACAUCGAAAUUGUCGUUGAGAUCCUUUGAAGGAUCCAUUUUAAAGCUGAAGAAUCGUUCGAGUAGGUAAAGUUUAUUCGGUGUAGAUUUAAGCAAGUAUAAGUCUUCUAGUCUUUUCCAAAGUUCUUUGGUGGUUUUUAGUUUUCCCACUUUUCUUAAGACAGCAUCAGACAAGUGUAAUAUUAGUGAGGUAUAGGCAAGCUCAUCGGCUUCCUCUUUUUGUUCUUUUGAGAUGUCAGGUGCAAAAUUGCCUUCAUGGCUUUUGCUUUUGUUGGACUAAUAUGCCUCUCAUCUUUUGUUACCAGAUAGAGAAGUCCCCUUUACCGUUAAAUAUUCCCAAAUCAAAAUUAUGCGUUGUCAUUGGUUAACACACUAAUUAAACCACACGAAGUAGUAUUGGGAAGCGUGAUAAGGUAAUAUCUUGUUAAUUCUUAGCAAAAAUAACAAUGAACCUAAACGCUACGUCCACCAAGAAAUACCAAGCACUUUAAAUCAAAAGAACAAGCACUCAAUUAACGCAAGUAAUCCCAAUUCUAGCACAAGCAAUGGUUACCCCUUCACAGUAACCCCAAAACCUAACGAUCACCCCACACGAUGAUCUUGCUAUUGCUGAAUUUAAAUGGAUUAAGCCAAUUUAGCAUAGCGGACCUAUCUGAGUCCGUAGAGUGGAGAAAAAUGAGCUUGCUGUUCAAUUUCAGUCAGCGUCGCACCAGGGGCAAAAUCGUCCAACUUUUUCUGUGUAACCUGAAACACAAAACAAAGUAUAUCAGUGCGUUCAAGGGAUUGAAACAAGCAAGUUACCUGAAGACAGCUUCGCUGGACUGCCGCCCACGCGCCGCCGCCGUCGCCUCCACCUGCUGGUAAUGGGUGUGGCCUCCAUUUGUCCAACCGAGCUUUGGUUUGUGAGUAAUUGAAUAAUUUCAGAUUCGGUUUCUAUGUUGAAUGUCCGAAAAUCAGCCGAUUUUGAGCCCUUUUUUGCUACCCAAGCUCUGAUACCAGAUGUUAGGAUCUUCCUCAAGCUGCUCAAAGUGAUUUCCGGGCUCAGUUAACCAUUAAACAUCGAAUUUAACACCAAAAACGAGAGGAGGGCCGACCGCCGGGUUGCUUGUAUUCCUAUGGUUGCUAUUGCUCUUUUGCUUGUUGUUUCUUCCACACACUUAGGAUGGAUACCACACAGGUAAGAGUCACAAAGCCUCAAGCAAUAGGUAGAGAUCAAUCAACAGGAUGCACAAAGAAAGAAGAAGGAAAACUGCCUCUCUCUCUCGGGUUCUCUCACGCACGGCUUCAACAUAUGAAAGGGAGUUACCAAUUUAUAAUAGUCCAAUGGCCAACUUAAAGUAAGUCACAAUAUGGUAAGUAGGCUCGACUAGGGUUAAGUCCCAAUAGCACACCAACGAGCCACAAAGAUUAUUAGCCCUCCAAUAGGUAAAGCAACGUUAGGUCGGGUCAUCCCAUUAUUCGGUGUUGAUUUAUCGUUUAGUCAUUUAUGUCGACUGAUAAAACUGGUUUUCAUCAUCGCCCGGGAGGUCGUUUGACAACAUGAUGUCUAACAAAUGAUUUCAUCGGAGAUCGAACUAAAUCAUCUAUUUUUCAC